rnacentral:lncRNA from 1 species
UACAACAUGCACAAAGUGCGAAUCAAUAAUCAUAGAUGUGGAAUAAUUGUCAAGAAUUAAUCCACUAGCAUGCUUGAAACAUAAUAACUCGAGUUUGAGUUAGGAAACUUGCAAUAAAUGAGAAUAUUCAAUAAUAACCAUAGAUUUGGAAUAAUCAUCAAUAAUUAUCCACUAACAUGCCUGAAAAAUAACAACUUGAGUUUGAGUUAGAGAAUUUGCCUUGACCUUCGAUUACCGCUAAGCAGUCUAAUUUAAUCUCUUAUGAAAGACCUAUCAUUUAUAAGAUCGAUCUUUUAAUCAGCG